AUGAACGCUAGCUACAGGCUUAACACAUGCCAGUCGAGGGGAAACGACAUCGAAAGCUUGCUUUUGAUGGGCGUCGACCGGCGCACGGGUGAGUAACGCGUAUCCAACCUGCCCAUCACUUGGGGAUAACCUUGCGAAAGUAAGACUAAUACCCAAUGAUAUCUCUAGAAGACAUCUGAAAGAGAUUAAAGAUUUAUCGGUGAUGGAUGGGGAUGCGUCUGAUUAGCUUGUUGGCGGGGUAACGGCCCACCAAGGCAACGAUCAGUAGGGGUUCUGAGAGGAAGGUCCCCCACAUUGGAACUGAGACACGGUCCAAACUCCUACGGGAGGCAGCAGUGAGGAAUAUUGGUCAAUGGGCGAGAGCCUGAACCAGCCAAGUAGCGUGCAGGAAGACGGCCCUAUGGGUUGUAAACUGCUUUUAUAAGGGAAUAAAGUGAGAGUCGUGACUCUUUUUGUAUGUACCUUAUGAAUAAGGACCGGCUAAUUCCGUG
rnacentral:rRNA from 1 species